rnacentral:rRNA from 1 species
UGAGGAAUAUUGGUCAAUGGGCGCAAGCCUGAACCAGCCAUGCCGCGUGCAGGAUGACUGCCCUAUGGGUUGUAAACUGCUUUUAUACAGGAAGAAACAGUCCCUCGUGAGGGGCCUUGACGGUACUGUAAGAAUAAGCACCGGCUAACUCCGUGCCAGCAGCCGCGGUAAUACGGAGGGUGCAAGCGUUAUCCGGAAUCAUUGGGUUUAAAGGGUCCGCAGGCGGUCAAUUAAGUCAGAGGUGAAAUCCUACAGCUUAACUGUAGAACUGCCUUUGAUACUGGUUGACUUGAGUUAUACGGAAGUAGGUAGAAUGUGUAGUGUAGCGGUGAAAUGCAUAGAUAUUACAC